CCUACGGGAGGCUGCAGUGGGGAAUUUUGGACAAUGGGGGGAACCCUGAUCCAGCCAUGCCGCGUGCGGGAAGAAGGCCUUCGGGUUGUAAACCGCUUUUGUCAGGGAAGAAAUUGUCCGGGCUAAUACCCUGGGCCGAUGACGGUACCUGAAGAAUAAGCACCGGCUAACUACGUGCCAGCAGCCGCGGUAAUACGUAGGGUGCAAGCGUUAAUCGGAAUUACUGGGCGUAAAGCGUGCGCAGGCGGUCCUGUAAGACAGAGGUGAAAUCCCCG
rnacentral:rRNA from 1 species